UUUCUUUAGUUUCUUUGCUCUACGUGGGCACCUGGCACUAAGGGAGUACCUUAUUAUCCUACAUCGCAAAUUUCAACAGCUACAUUAUAUUUCCUUCUGACACUUGGAAGGUAUUGAAAUUUCUAGAAAUGUAUCCUUCUCACAAAGUAGAGACCAAGAGAAAAACUCAUUGAUUGGGUUUCUACUUCUUUCAAGGACUCAGGAAAUUUCACUUUGAACUGAGGCCAAGUGAGCUGUUAAGAUAACCCACACUUAAACUAAAGGCUAAGAAUAUAGGCUUGAUGGGAAAUUGAAGGUAGGCUGAGUAUUGGGAAUCCAAAUUGAAUUUUGAUUCUCCUUGGCAGUGAACUACUUUGAAGAAGUGGUCAAUGGGUUGUUGCUGCCAUGAGCAUGUACAACCUCUGGAGCUAGAAGCUCCUCAGGAAAGCCAGUUCUCCAAGUUCUUAACCUGUGGCACUGAAAGGAAUGUUGAGUUACCUCUUCAUGUUUUAGACAGCAAACCCUAUCCAUUAAAGUACUUGUUAGAACACUGAAAGACUG
rnacentral:lncRNA from 1 species